AGAGUUUGAUCAUGGCUCAGGAUGAACGCUGGCGGCGUGCCUAAUACAUGCAAGUCGAACGAGGUGCUUUUGUAGCAAUACGGAAGUAUCCUAGUGGCGAACGGGUGAGUAACGCGUUGGUGACCUACCCCAAAGUGUGGGAUAACAGUUCGAAAGAACUGCUAAUACCGCAUGUGGUUAUUGGAUUUAGAAACCAAUAACUAAAGGAGCAAUUCGCUUUGGGAGGGACCUGCGUCCCAUCAGCUAGUUGGUGAGGUAAUGGCUCACCAAGGCUACGACGGGUAGGGGACCUGAGAGGGUGACCCCCCACAAUGGAACUGAAACACGGUCCAUACACCUACGGGUGGCAGCAGUAGGGAAUAUUGCACAAUGGGCGAAAGCCUGAUGCAGCAACGCCGCGUGUGCGAUGAAGGCCUUCGGGUCGUAAAGCACAUUUCUGAGGGAUGAGCAAGGACAGUACCUCAGGAAUAAGUCUCGGCUAACUACGUGCCAGCCGCCGCGGUAAUA
rnacentral:rRNA from 1 species